UUUUCACACAUCCAUCAAUCCUUUGCUGACGUUGAUCAUCAGAGAUCAGGACAAAAUUCAUCCUGCAGUGUGUUUCGGCAUUAAGCUGUGAGCUUUUGGAUCUUCUAGCUGCAUAAAGGAGUCCAUCUGGAAGACAGAAACCGUCCAGCCGAGGCUGAUGUUGAGUUCAGGUUGGUGGGAGGAAGCUCUGGCUGUUCAGGUGGAGUGGAGCUGAAACACCUCGGAGAAUGGAGACCAGUGGACGACCUCUACUCGAACCUGAAGUUAUCAACUGCAGUCUGUGAACGUCUGGACUGUGGCUCUGCUGUUUCCGUGAAAACAUCUGAGUCAUCAUACAGAUCUGCGUGGAGUUUUGAAUAUGAAUGUUUCAAGUCUCCAUCAGAUUUGAAGAAUUGCUUCAGGUCCUCUUAUGCUUCCUCUUUCAUUAAUCUCACAUGCUCAGGUAAGACCAAUGUGGUUUCAAUUAACUCCAUGUUCUCAACAUGGUGAGUUCAGACAGAAAGCUUUCAACAUAACAUCACAGUUGAUGAAGCAUUAAAAAUUCAAGGUUUUUUAUUUUCCAUUUGUUCACAUAAACCAUUUCUGGUUGUAGGUACAAUGUUUUUUGAGGUUGUAGCUGUAGUGUUUGUGAUGGGGUUGUAGUUGCAGUGACCUCCUGUCCUGUGUUCAGACUCGGUGCGGCUGCUGAAUGGACCCAGUCGUUGUUCAGGCAGACUGCAGGUGAAGAC